UACAGAGGGGGCAAGCGUUGUUCGGAAUUACUGGGCGUAAAGGGCGCGUAGGCGGCCUUCUAAGUCGAACGUGAAAUCCCCGGGCUCAACCCGGGAACUGCGUCCGAUACUGGAUGGCUUGAAUCCGGGAGAGGGAUGCAGAAUUCCAGGUGUAGCGGUGAAAUGCGUAGAUAUCUGGAGGAAUACCGGUGGCGAAGGCGGCAUCCUGGACCGGCAUUGACGCUGAGGAGCGAAAGCGUGGGGAGCGAACAGG
rnacentral:rRNA from 1 species